rnacentral:misc_RNA from 1 species
UGACAUAGGAUAGUCAUGUUACAAGGUGACAUAGCAUAGAUCUCGGCCCUCCAAAACAAAUCUAAUGGCUGAGAUUCGUCCACGUCAUCACGAGUUAAAAUUUAACUCCAGUAAAAUUUUAACUCCUGCAAUUUUACUCCCAGUAAAAUUUUUACUCCUACGAGUUAAAUUUUAACUUGUGAUGACGUGAACGAAUCUCAGCCGUUGGAUUUGUUUUAAAGGGCUGAGAUCUACGCUAUAUCACCUUGUGACAUGCCUACCCUAUGUCAC